rnacentral:rRNA from 1 species
UGGGGAAUAUUGGACAAUGGGGGGAACCCUGAUCCAGCCAUGCCGCGUGUGUGAAGAAGGCCUUAUGGUUGUAAAGCACUUUAAGCGAGGAGGAGGGUACUGGUAUUAAUACUACCAGGUACUGGACGUUACUCGCAGAAUAAGCACCGGCUAACUCUGUGCCAGCAGCCGCGGUAAUUCAGAGGGUGCGAGCGUUAAUCGGAUUUACUGGGCGUAAAGCGUGCGUAGGCGGCUAAUUGAGUCGGAUGUGAAAUCCCCGAGCUUAACUUGAGAAUUGCAUGCGAUACUAGUUAGCUAGAGUGUGGGGGAUGAUGGUAGAAUUCCAGGUGUAGCGGUGAAAUGCGUAGAGAUCUGGAGGAAUACCGAUGGCGAAGGCAGCCAUCUGGCCUAACACUGACGCUGAGGUACGAAAGCAUGGGGAGCAAACAGG